rnacentral:rRNA from 1 species
UUCCAGACUCCUACGGGAGGCAGCAGUGGGGAAUAUUGCACAAUGGGAGGAACCCUGAUGCAGCGACGCCGCGUGGGUGAAGGAGCAACUCGGCGCGUAAAGCCCUAUCGGCAGGGAAGAAAAGCGAACAGGUUCGCCUGGACGGUACCUGACUAAGAAGACCCGGCUAACUACGGGCCAGCAGCCGCGGUAAUACGUAGGGGGCAAGCGUUGUCCGGAUUCACUGGGUGUAAAGGGAGCGUAGACGGCGACGCAAGUCUGGAGUGAAAGCCCGGGGCCCAACCCCGGGACUGCUCUGGAAACUGCGAGGCUGGAGUGUCGGAGAGGCAGGCGGAAUUCCUAGUGUAGCGGUGAAAUGCGUAGAUAUUAGGAGGAACACCAGUGGCGAAGGCGGCCUGCUGGACGAUGACUGACGCUGAGGCUCGAAAGCGUGGGGAGCAAACAGGAUUAGAUACCCCUGUA